GAGAGAGAGAGAUAGAGAGGGAGAUGCAUUUGCAAUUGACUCGGGACCCUUCGAUUAUUAAAUUUCAAGUAUUACGAAGGCAUUUGACCGAGUUGGUGAGAAAGACGAGUGGCUGCAAUUAAGUUAGUGCUGGAUUUGGUCGGUAGCUAUACUUUUCAUGUUGUUGGAGUUAUUUGCUCUUUCCCUCCUCCUUAUAUCUUUCUUGCAAUUGUG
rnacentral:misc_RNA from 1 species